rnacentral:lncRNA from 1 species
GUUUGUCUCUAGCGUUUUAACAAACAACAAGAAUUGGAUUGUGGAGAUACUGUUUCUCAUGAAGAACAGAACACCUGUUUCCUAUCUGGCCUUGUGAAAUAAAAUCAACUUUUUGUAACAAACUUUAUAACAUGAAUAUCUUAUAGGAUGUUUAAAGAGUUAUGAUUUUUUUUUAAUUUGUCAUUUCUUUCUAAGACAUUUUUGAAAUAACUGGAAGGCAUCUUUUUUAAGAGAAUAAAAUAAUCACCAUAUUUGAAUGUUUACUAGAAAUUAAUAAUUUGACCUGAUAAUUUAAAUUGCUUCAUUUUAUUUUUAGAAAGAUUAACCCUGAAUUAUGAUUUUUAGGAAGAAUUCUAUAAAAAUGUUUCUUGAUAUUUUAUAAUUCUUUGAAGUAACUACUAAUAAUCAAUUGUAUUAAACACAUGUUUUCAAGUUUAAAAUACACUGAAACUCUAGAAUAGCCCCGAUUUUC